CCCUUAGAUGUCCUGAGCCGCACGCGCGCUACACUGAGUGUCUGAGAUACGAGUCUGCCUGGUCCGGCAAGGUCUAGGUAAUCGCUAAAAGACACAUCAUGCUUGGGAUAGAUUAUUGCAAAUAUUAAUCUUGAACGAGGAAUUCCUAGUAAGCGCAAGUCAACAGCUUGCGUUGAUUACGUCCCUGCCCUUUGUACACACCGCCCGUCGCUACUACUGAUUGGAUGUUUAAGCGAGGUUCUCGAACUGCUAGCGACUUAGCUUCGGUGAGGUCGCAGUGUGGGAAGUGAACCUAGCUUUGGUGUCUAGAGGAAGUAAAAGUCGUAACA
rnacentral:rRNA from 1 species